AACAUACGUACGAGAAUGGUAACACAAUUCUCAUUGACUGGUGGGAGACAGACAGAGAAGCGAAGACCAACUCUCAUCCACUAUAUCAGUUUGGCAAAUGUCGCUCAAAUGCAAAUCCAGUCAAACCCAUGUUUCUGUGUACGAUUGAUAUGUCCUUCCCCUUGUUACUGUUAUAAAUCUAUAUAUGCUGUUGAAAUGACUAUUUCUAUAUUCCAAUAACCAGUAACACUUAUUGGUUUGUCCAUCUCCUAACUUACAUAUUGUAUAUAUAUAUAUGUGUGUGUGUUUUAAAUUGAUGCCUCUAUGUACAUGUAACAAGGUGAAUUGUACAUACUUUGUAUUUACUAUAUAUGUUAUUGGUUUCCUAAUGCUUAGUAUAGUAGUCGCGGAUCACAUGAUAAUCACGUGAUCUCGAAUAUUUUGUAUAUGCUAUAUUAGUGUCAUUUUUACGAGUUAGUUUUAUUAACAUUUCUAAUAUAAUUCAGAUCAUUGAUAUGUACUAAAAUUAAGGAAAAUGUAAAACAUUAAUUUCCGGAACCUUCCUAUCUAUUUUUUGACCAAUCGGGUUGGAGCGGUCAGUUUAAAUACAAUGCCUUUGUUACUGGUCAGUACAAUAUCAGACAGCUGACAAUUAACAGGUGGAUCAAGUUUUCAAGUUUCUCCAGUAAUCUAUUCCGGAUCAAUAUAUAUAUAAUUGUUGUUGAAAUCAAUUCACAACAAGAAAAUGUAACGGUGAACUCCCAUCUUUACCUUACUUAGGACAAAUGCCAGAAAACACGUGAUGGACAAUAAAUAACAUGUAAUGAA